UGCGGGGUGGAGCAGUCUGGUAGCUCGUUGGGCUCAUAACCCAAAGGUCGGAGGUUCAAAUCCUCCCCCCGCUA
rnacentral:tRNA from 1 species